GUCAGUUGGCUACUUUAGCCUUCACCACCCAGCGCAUGCUGCUUGGUAAUCACUGAGUUGGCUGGACUGUCUUCUCUGAAUGUGGUCAUGAUGGCUGAGGAUAGAGGUGGAACAGGUGCCAUGCUGCUAUCACAAGACGGAGACCACAUACUCUAAGAAUGCUGAACAGAAAAAUAAAAGGAGUCUGAGUCCCUGAUGACAUAAUAGAGCUACCAUAACCACCAUGGAUAUUGUCUAGGUGCUUUGUAAUAUAAAAAGAGUAAACCCUCUAAUUGGUUCAA
rnacentral:lncRNA from 1 species